GUUUUCCUCCCUGGGCCCUGGAGGCCAUUUCCUCCAAGGAAUCAGGGCAGGAUGUUGCUUUCUCUUUCCGGAGCCCAGAGCUUUCUGCACUCGCAAACUUCCAGAUCUGGGCCAUUGGGACCCCCUAGAAAACAGUCUGCUGUCUAGCCCCUUCCCUGAAGCUGUGACUCCAGGGGCUCUGCUGGGGACAUUCAGUGUGAGGGUAUGUGUGUGUGUAUAUGUCUGUGUGUUUGUGUAUGUAGGCGUAGGAGGAUCCAUGGGGGGCAAAUGUUGCCUUGUAUUCCUCCAGUGGGCUGGCAACACACCAUGGAAAGACCGUGGGCUGGGAGCUGGCACCCCUAGGAGGGGGCUCACAGCCCUGGCAGGGGCACCAGCUCUGCCAUGACCAGCUGGGGCCUCUUGUUCCUGGAACCUCACUCAUCCCCCACCCUCUGCAACCUGGAGGUGGCAAUAAAGACUCCCUUAUACGGGGCCUGCCAGGAGCAAGCCCUAAUGGCCAGAGUGGGCUCUGUGGAUUGUUACGAGAUCUACAAUGUUCCUUGCGGUACCCACAUGCCUGGCAGAAGGAGUGGGGAGGGAGCUGUUAAGUGCCAGGUGGCAUUCAGGCUGGAGUGGGGGUGGGGGCUGAUGAAGGGCUCAGCGAGGCCCUAACCCUGCCCUUCAGCCCCUCAAUGAACUAGUCAGCACCUGCCAUCAGCUGGGUUCUCAGGCCUGGCUGCCCUGAUCACUCCUGUGCCCUGCAAGCAGGCAGCCUGAGAGAGAGCCCUGCCUCCAGGAGCCUCACAGAAGCUGGCUGUUGCCCCCUUCCCGUGCCUCAUAACCUGCCCUGCCCCUCAGCUCCUCCCUCCGGCUACCCCGGAAGGGAAAGGUCAGUGUUGCCAGGCAGGGUCCGGGAGCAGUUCCUGGAGCUGCGGGACUUCGGUCACCACUGAGCAAUGCCCUCCCAGUACUGCCAGGAGAAACCAAACAGAAAGGGCUUGGGACGUGCCUAAGGAUGCACAGCCAUUCUUUCUGGGACAAUAGCUGCCUCCCUCCACAACAGCUAGACAACCCCCCCUCCCCCGGCUGCCCCUCAGGGGACUAUGGAAUUAAAGAAGUCACCCCUUUCUUCUCCUACCAGGGACGCCGAGCCGGAACUAGUAUGGCACAGAGUGACGACGAACAUUUCUUUUUGACCUCUGCCUGGGCUGCUCCCGCUUCCUAGAACGCUUUCCUCCACCUGACUACAUCCUACUGACCCUUCAAGUCAUGGUCAGACGUUGCCUCCUCCAGGAAGCCCUCCUGGCUUUUCCACUGGACAGGGAAGCCAGGUCACGAUGUUACGGAGAGCCACUUCCGGGUGAGACCAGAAGGGGCAAGCAUCGUGCUCAAGGUAACACAGCCAAGCGGCGGCUCCUCGCCAGGGCUCUGUGCCAUCCGUUGCCCCGCUCCCCCCACCUGGCAGCCUCCUGGCUCUGGCCAAAUAACCCGCCCCAGGCCCCGGGGACGCAGCGCCAGAGGGAGGUAACAAUAAAAGCUUAUCAAACAGCAUGUAGGAGGCAGCCACAGAUUUCAGAGGCUAAGUAAUCUGUGUCUAAUGUUCACUUAGCAGAGCGUGAGCCUCUGAAAUGUCAGCGCUCGCGGUCUGACCCUGCAGUGGCCGGAGCUUUUGAAGCUGAGGGAAACGGAGUCAUCCUGCGUGCCUAGAGCUUUCUACCGGGGCUGCGGUGCAGAUGGGGGAGUUUUCAGGUGCCAGACCAUCCUGGUGGCCCCAGCUGGCUGUACCCAGGGAAGUGAAGCAUCUUUCUCGGUCCUGGAGACGCUGUUACAGAUGGGGAGACAGAGGAGGCUGGCCGCGGGAACCCACCGCUGAGUGAUUUCAGAGCCUGGUUUUUACCUGUGAGCCUCUGCUGCUGCCGAGUGCCCUGGUGCCCCUCCCCCAAGGGGCAUAGGAGAGGGGUCCUGCCCUCUUCCAGCACCCCCCUCCCCCCAUGACCAUGGAAAGGAUGCCCCGCAUGGGCCACCUUGGGCCCAGCCUCACCUCUGAGCCCACAUGCAGGAGGCCCGCCUCUAUCAUCUCCCUGUUCUAUCUCAGACAGAUCCUCAGCCCUCCUGGACCUCAGUUUCCCCAUCUGUCAAGGAGCUGGAAAGCUCUCCAAGAUUCCAUGGUUCUACAGUAUCUUACACAUGAUGAAUAAGGCAGUUGCUUCACAGCCUC